UUAAGCGACUAAGCGUACACGGUGGAUGCCCUGGCAGUCAGAGGCGAUGAAGGACGUGCUAAUCUGCGAUAAGCGUCGGUAAGGUGAUAUGAACCGUUAUAACCGGCGAUUUCCGAAUGGGGAAACCCAGUGUGUUUCGACACACUAUCAUUAACUGAAUCCAUAGGUUAAUGAGGCGAACCGGGGGAACUGAAACAUCUAAGUACCCCGAGGAAAAGAAAUCAACCGAGAUUCCCCCAGUAGCGGCGAGCGAACGGGGAGCAGCCCAGAGCCUGAAUCAGUGUGUGUGUUAGUGGAAGCGUCUGGAAAGGCGCGCGAUACAGGGUGACAGCCCCGUACACAAAAAUGCACAUGCUGUGAGCUCGAUGAGUAGGGCGGGACACGUGGUAUCCUGUCUGAAUAUGGGGGGACCAUCCUCCAAGGCUAAAUACUCCUGACUGACCGAUAGUGAACCAGUACCGUGAGGGAAAGGCGAAAAGAACCCCGGCGAGGGGAGUGAAAAGAACCUGAAACCGUGUACGUACAAGCAGUGGGAGCACGCUUAGGCGUGUGACUGCGUACCUUUUGUAUAAUGGGUCAGCGACUUAUAUUCUGUAGCAAGGUUAACCGAAUAGGGGAGCCGAAGGGAAACCGAGUCUUAACUGGGCGUUAAGUUGCAGGGUAUAGACCCGAAACCCGGUGAUCUAGCCAUGGGCAGGUUGAAGGUUGGGUAACACUAACUGGAGGACCGAACCGACUAAUGUUGAAAAAGUAGCGGAUGACUUGUGGCUGGGGGUGAAAGGCCAAUCAAACCGGGAGAUAGCUGGUUCUCCCCGAAAGCUAAUUAGGUAGCGCCUCGUGAAUUCAUCUCCGGGGGUAGAGCACUGUUUCGGCAAGGGGGUCAUCCCGACUUACCAACCCGAUGCAAACUGCGAAUACCGGAGAAUGUUAUCACGGGAGACACACGGCGGGUGCUAACGUCCGUCGUGAAGAGGGAAACAACCCAGACCGCCAGCUAAGGUCCCAAAGUCAUGGUUAAGUGGGAAACGAUGUGGGAAGGCCCAGACAGCCAGGAUGUUGGCUUAGAAGCAGCCAUCAUUUAAAGAAAGCGUAAUAGCUCACUGGUCGAGUCGGCCUGCGCGGAAGAUGUAACGGGGCUAAACCAUGCACCGAAGCUGCGGCAGCGACGCUGAUGCGUUGUUGGGUAGGGGAGCGUUCUGUAAGCCUGCGAAGGUGUGCUGUGAGGCAUGCUGGAGGUAUCAGAAGUGCGAAUGCUGACAUAAGUAACGAUAAAGCGGGUGAAAAGCCCGCUCGCCGGAAGACCAAGGGUUCCUGUCCAACGUUAAUCGGGGCAGGGUGAGUCGACCCCUAAGGCGAGGCCGAAAGGCGUAGUCGAUGGGAAACAGGUUAAUAUUCCUGUACUUGGUGUUACUGCGAAGGGGGGACGGAGAAGGCUAUGUUGGCCGGGCGACGGUUGUCCCGGUUUAAGCGUGUAGGCUGGUUUUCCAGGCAAAUCCGGAAAAUCAAGGCUGAGGCGUGAUGACGAGGCACUACGGUGCUGAAGCAACAAAUGCCCUGCUUCCAGGAAAAGCCUCUAAGCAUCAGGUAACAUCAAAUCGUACCCCAAACCGACACAGGUGGUCAGGUAGAGAAUACCAAGGCGCUUGAGAGAACUCGGGUGAAGGAACUAGGCAAAAUGGUGCCGUAACUUCGGGAGAAGGCACGCUGAUAUGUAGGUGAAGUCCCUCGCGGAUGGAGCUGAAAUCAGUCGAAGAUACCAGCUGGCUGCAACUGUUUAUUAAAAACACAGCACUGUGCAAACACGAAAGUGGACGUAUACGGUGUGACGCCUGCCCGGUGCCGGAAGGUUAAUUGAUGGGGUCAGCGCAAGCGAAGCUCUUGAUCGAAGCCCCGGUAAACGGCGGCCGUAACUAUAACGGUCCUAAGGUAGCGAAAUUCCUUGUCGGGUAAGUUCCGACCUGCACGAAUGGCGUAAUGAUGGCCAGGCUGUCUCCACCCGAGACUCAGUGAAAUUGAACUCGCUGUGAAGAUGCAGUGUACCCGCGGCAAGACGGAAAGACCCCGUGAACCUUUACUAUAGCUUGACACUGAACAUUGAGCCUUGAUGUGUAGGAUAGGUGGGAGGCUUUGAAGUGUGGACGCCAGUCUGCAUGGAGCCGACCUUGAAAUACCACCCUUUAAUGUUUGAUGUUCUAACGUUGACCCGUAAUCCGGGUUGCGGACAGUGUCUGGUGGGUAGUUUGACUGGGGCGGUCUCCUCCUAAAGAGUAACGGAGGAGCACGAAGGUUGGCUAAUCCUGGUCGGACAUCAGGAGGUUAGUGCAAUGGCAUAAGCCAGCUUGACUGCGAGCGUGACGGCGCGAGCAGGUGCGAAAGCAGGUCAUAGUGAUCCGGUGGUUCUGAAUGGAAGGGCCAUCGCUCAACGGAUAAAAGGUACUCCGGGGAUAACAGGCUGAUACCGCCCAAGAGUUCAUAUCGACGGCGGUGUUUGGCACCUCGAUGUCGGCUCAUCACAUCCUGGGGCUGAAGUAGGUCCCAAGGGUAUGGCUGUUCGCCAUUUAAAGUGGUACGCGAGCUGGGUUUAGAACGUCGUGAGACAGUUCGGUCCCUAUCUGCCGUGGGCGCUGGAGAACUGAGGGGGGCUGCUCCUAGUACGAGAGGACCGGAGUGGACGCAUCACUGGUGUUCGGGUUGUCAUGCCAAUGGCACUGCCCGGUAGCUAAAUGCGGAAGAGAUAAGUGCUGAAAGCAUCUAAGCACGAAACUUGCCCCGAGAUGAGUUCUCCCUGACUCCUUGAGAGUCCUGAAGGAACGUUGAAGACGACGACGUUGAUAGGCCGGGUGUGUAAGCGCAGCGAUGCGUUGAGCUAACCGGUACUAAUGAACCGUGAGGCUUAACCUU
rnacentral:rRNA from 1 species